CUUGGGUUUUUUUUGCAGUGACGGUUGAAAAACGGUAAUAUCGGCGUUAUACACCGUUGCCCGCUAAAUUGCGGGCACGACAGACCGCUACCAACGUGAAUCGAUUACCCACCGUUAAAUUCCUCAAUACCGGUUUCGGACGGUGGCGCGACCGUGAAAUACCGGCCGCUAUAGCGGUUUCGUUCCUCUAUUUGAUUAAUGUUAUCCGUGGGACUAGCAGCAGGUGGCUCUCUUCCUUCGAAGCUCCCUGGAACAUAUCCAGGAUCAAUCGGUUUCAAUUCAAACGGUUCUGUCUAUCUAGAUGGAAUGAAGCUUGUGUUUGGAUCAGAGAAAGAAGAACGGGGGAAAACAGAGAAUGUCAUAGGUUGCGGGUUCGAUUCCUGGCGGAAAGAAGUCUUUUUCACCUUGGACUCGAAUCUGGUACAUGAGCACAACUAAAGGAGGCCACAGCAAAGGGAUUAAGCGUUCAUCAACUGAAUUGGAAGAGGAGUCCGAUUUAUUCGAGAUCUCAUUGGAUAAUAAUGGAGGAGCCCCUAAUUCAGUUCUGUAGCCUACAAGACUGAUCGUUUCUUUCUUUUGGCAUUGAAUGAAGUUGUUGACUGUAUAGUUUUAAUAGGAGUUGAUAGAUUUCUUGUAUAGUUGAACCACUGCGACGUUUAGCAGCAGAUGACAUAAUCAUUUACAAUAACGUUUUGCCUUGGAAACGAAAUGUAACUUGAUGCAUCGUAUUGAAUUACAUUUGUUCAUUUUUG